UAACCAUAGAAACAGAGAAAAAGACUAAACAUAAAAACCAUGAAAAUGGUGUCAUUGUCAGAUGAAAUAAGCCAUUCAAAAAUGUCAAACAUGUACAACUUACAUUUAUUCCAUAAUUAUGCCAAAAGUAGUGAUCCUAUACAUGUACAAUGUAGCUUAUAGCUUAUGAGAAACAUUGAUGACCUUCGGCUAUUGUCUGCUCUGAAGUUGGGUUGUUGUCUUUUUUGGCACAUUCCCCAUUUCCAGUGUCAAUUUUAUUAGCAUGAUUAGGAAGUAUAAACUGAGAAACAAACCUAACCAUGUUAACAUUGUAUCAAACUGAAAUAACCUUAAUCACUUAAAUUAUCCAUGAAGGUCAAGGUCAGGUCAACCCAACCUGAUAGACAAGUAGAUCUUUCAAGAUACUCAUAUACAAUAAAAUGU
rnacentral:lncRNA from 1 species